AGUUUUUGUUUUAGUGGUAACUCAGACAGAUUUGGUUGGAUUUCUUCUCCUUUGAUAACCAACACAGGGGACCCCAGGUGGAAGAACCCUGUCGAUUUCAGCUUCUCUAUGAGGAUUGUAUGUCAUCCACAUGGGGGCGCUUCAGUUGAAGAUCAGUUUUUUGGACACAAAUCCAGCAAUAAUAGGCUAAUUGAGACCGAAUUUGGUUCAUAUUGAUCGUUUUACAAAUGUCCAUUUUCUUGUUACCAUCCAGAGUUCAUGUGGUGUCAUUUCCAUUCCCUAGGUGGAGUUUUUUUGGGGAAAAUUGGUUCUCUGACCAUUAUUCUGCCACUAUCAGGUCAAUGUAGCUCAAAUUGAGUUUAUACCGAUUGUCUUAA